rnacentral:sRNA from 1 species
GAAGUAAAAGUCGUAACAAGGUCUCCGUUGGUGAACCAGCGGAGGGAUCAUUGUUGGAACGCGCUCCGGCGCAUCCAGACAACCCUUUGUGAACUUAUACCCAUACUGUUGCCUCGGCGUCAGGCUGGCCCCCCCCGGGGGGUCCCUCACCUCGGUGAGGAGCAGGCCCGCCGGCGGCCAAGUUAACUCUUGUUUUUACACUGAAACUCUGAGAAUAAAACAAAAAUGAAUCAAAACUUUCAACAACGGAUCUCUUGGUUCUGGCAUCGAUGAAGAACGCAGCGAAAUGCGAUAAGUAAUGUGAAUUGCAGAAUUCAGUGAAUCAUCGAAUCUUUGAACGCACAUUGCGCCCUCUGGUAUUCCGGAGGGCAUGCCUGUUCGAGCGUCAUUUCAACCCUCAAGCCUGGCUUGGUGAUGGGGCACUGCCUUUGAGAAAAGGGCAGGCCCUGAAAUUCAGUGGCGAGCUCGCCAGGACCCCGAGCGCAGUAGUUAAACCCUCGCUUUGGAAGGUCUUGGUGCGGCCCUGCCGUUAAACCCCCAACUUCUGAAA